UACAGAGGUCCCGAGCGUUGUUCGGAUUCAUUGGGCGUAAAGGGUGCGUAGGCGGCGGGGUAAGUUUGAUGUGAAAUCCCGGGGCUCAACCCUGGAAUUGCAUUGAAUACUACCUUGCUAGAGUACCGGAGAGGAAACUGGAAUUUACGGUGUAGCAGUGAAAUGCGUAGAGAUCGUAAGGAAGACAGUGGCGAAGGCGAGUUUCUGGACGGUA
rnacentral:rRNA from 1 species